GCCUAGCGCGCUCAUACUUGUUCUUAGGCCACCUGGUCAGGUCCGGAAGGAAGCAGCCAAGCUUAGGUAAUGAGGUAUCGAGUUGUUGUUAGGUUCC
rnacentral:SRP_RNA from 1 species